GGAAUUAUAUUCAUUGUAGAAUUAGGAAGCUUAUAUUUCUUUUCUACUAUUUAGGAAUUAUAUUAUUAUUUAGGAACACUUAUAGAGUUCUCUUAGUUUUAGUAUUUUGUUAUAUAUAAAUUUCGUUUUGAUUUGGGAUUCCUAAUUAAUAUUUGAUCAGGAUUUUCUUGUUUAAGAAUUUCAAAUCCUAAUAUUAAUAGGACUACUUCAUAAACAUCAAACCGUAUGCGUUUUAGGCAUUUUACAGAGGUUAAUAUGAUAUUAUUACUGAUAUUUAAUAAGAUUUGAGAAUUUGUUUCUCCAGAGAAUGUGUUUCUCCACCCUUUGAGAAUUUGUUUCUCACCCUUAGUUCCCCAUAACUCUUUGGUUCUAUAUCAGCUACAAAAAUUUCCAAAGAGACUUUUACAAAUUAAAUAAUUUCCUUUACUAUGUAGGCAAAGCAAGUCAUGUGUUGCAAAGCUCUAAAAUGUAAAUAUCAAAAACCAAACGAUGCAGUUAUCAGAUUGAAAGAAGAUUCAAAUGGAUGACAGUGGGUUCAUUAUAUCGUCGGAACUAAAGCAUUCAUAAGAUUCACAUGGAGAGUAGAGAAGGACUAACCUCAUUAAGCUUUGAUUCAAGUA
rnacentral:misc_RNA from 1 species